GAUGAAGAACGCAGCGAAAUGCGAUAAGUAAUGUGAAUUGCAGAAUUCAGUGAAUCAUCGAAUCUUUGAACGCACAUUGCGCCCGCCAGUAUUCUGGCGGGCAUGCCUGUUCGAGCGUCAUUUCAACCAUCAAGCCCUGCUUGCGUUGGGGUCCUGCGGCUGCCCGCAGGCCCUGAAAGCCAGUGGCGGGCUCGCUAGUCACACCGAGCGCAGUAAUACAUCUCGCUUUGGGCGUGCGGCGGGUUCUUGCCGUUAAACACCCCCUUUUUACCAAGGUUGACCUCGGAUCAGGUAGGAAUACCCGCUGAACUUAAGCAUAUCAAUAAGCGGAGGA
rnacentral:misc_RNA from 1 species